rnacentral:lncRNA from 1 species
UGUGAAAAGUCUUCAUUUGAAAGUUUGCUAAGCAACAAAUCUUUCAAAUAGAACAGGUUGCAACUCUGCUCUGCCUGGAAAGUACACAUGCAUCUGCUGAUAUAGACUGAUACAGGAGUGGCUUUUUGCAUGCAGAACACCAUUUAUCUCAAACCCAACCUAGACAAGUUCAGAUCUAUUCAGCAGGACAAAACUGGAGAGCUGCUUCAUCAGUUCCAAUCCAUACUGUGACUGGUCUCAUGGAAAGGAUCAUAUUGAUGAAUUAGUGUUGUUACCCUCCCAGCCAUGGAAGAAUACCUCACACAAAAAAAUCCAUAGGUGACUUACAGGUUUGGUAAGCAGCCUGUGAGAUUUGGGAGAAACAUUCUGGUAUACCUGUAAAUCAGCUUUGAUCUAAAUUACCUGCCAUUGU